rnacentral:rRNA from 1 species
AUUGAACGCUGGCGGCAUGCCUUACACAUGCAAGUCGAGCGGCAGCGCGGGGGCAACCCUGGCGGCGAGCGGCGGACGGGUGAGUAAUACAUCGGAACGUGUCCUUUCGUGGGGGAGUAACCAGUCGAAGACUGGCUAAUACCGCAUGAGAUCGCAAGAUGAAAGCGAGGGAUCCGCAAGGACCUCGCGCGAUUGGAGCGGCCGAUGUCGGAUUAGCUAGUUGGCGGGGUAAAAGACCCACCAAGGCAACGAUCCGUAGCUGGUUUGAGAGAACGACCAGCCACACUGGGACUGAGACACGGCCCAGACUCCUACGGGAGGCAGCAGUGGGGAAUUUUGGACAAUGGGGGCAACCCUGAUCCAGCCAUGCCGCGUGUGUGAAGAAGGCCUCGGUUGUAAG